CUUGCUCCCGAUGAGAGUGGCGCACGGGUGCGUAACACGUAUGCAACCUACCUUUACCAGGGGGAUAGCCUCUCGAAAGAGAGAUUAAGACCGCAUAAAAUCAGCUUGUGGCAUCACAGACUGAUCAAAUAUUUAUAGGGUAAAGAUGGGCAUGCGGAACAUUAGCUAGUUGGUAAGGUAACGGCUUACCAAGGCUACGAUGUUUAGGGGAUCUGAGAGGAUGACCCCCCACACUGGUACUGAGACACGGACCAGACUCCUACGGGAGGCAGCAGUAAGGAAUAUUGGUCAAUGGGCGGAAGCCUGAACCAGCCAUGCCGCGUGCAGGAAGACGGCCCUACGGGUUGUAAACUGCUUUUGUACGGGAAUAAACCCUGAUACGUGUAUCAGGCUGAAUGUACCGUAAGAAUAAGGAUCGGCUAACUCCGUGCCAGCAGCCGCGGUAAUACGGAGGAUCCGAGCGUUAUCCGGAUUUAUUGGGUUUAAAGGGUGCGUAGGCGGCUUUUUAAGUCAGGGGUGAAAGACGGCAGCUCAACUGUCGCAGUGCCUUUGAUACUGAAGAGCUUGAAUGUACUUGAGGUAGGCGGAAUGUGACAAGUAGCGGUGAAAUGCAUAGAUAUGUCACAGAACACCAAUUGCGAAGGCAGCUUACUAAAGUAUGAUUGACGCUGAGGCACGAAAGCGUGGGGAUCAAACAGGAUUAGAUACCCUGGUAGUCCACGCCCUAAACGAUGAACACUCGAUGUUGGCGAUAUACGGUCAGCGUCUAAGCGAAAGCGUUAAGUGUUCCACCUGGGGAGUACGCCCGCAAGGGUGAAACUCAAAGGAAUUGACGGGGGCCCGCACAAGCGGAGGAGCAUGUGGUUUAAUUCGAUGAUACGCGAGGAACCUUACCCGGGCUUGAAAGUUAGUGAAUAGAGCAGAGACGCUCUAGUCCUUCGGGACACGAAACUAGGUGCUGCAUGGCUGUCGUCAGCUCGUGCCGUGAGGUGUUGGGUUAAGUCCCGCAACGAGCGCAACCCCUAUGUUUAGUUGCCAGCAUGUAAUGAUGGGGACUCUAAACAGACUGCCUAUGCAAAUAGAAAAGGAAGGAGGGGACGACGUCAAGUCAUCAUG
rnacentral:rRNA from 1 species